rnacentral:lncRNA from 1 species
CCAAAUCUCCAAACCUGAUUAUCGUCAUUCUCCUUUACAAAACGUUUUAAUGACUUUAAACCAAACCAAUCUGCAAAGCUAUUCAUAAUACAUCAAUUCUCAAUUUCUAAUUUUCAAACUACCUAAGAUCAAAAUAAGGACAAAUCUUAUGAAACAAAAGCAGCCAAAAUGGAGAGAAACAGGUUCAUGAUCUUUCAAAAGAAAGAAAUCCAAAGAUGUCAUGCCUUUUAAACAAGAACAAAUCAAUAUACCACACCUAUAGUAAUCAAUACUCGCAUUUUAUUCACACUCAAUCAUGAUCUAAUACAAAACUAUAUAUGAAAUAAAGAUCUAGAGCUUAAGAGAAAAGGAAAUGGACCUUUAUGCAAAAACCAAACAGAUCUGAGAGCCGCUAACCGGAAAACAUGAACCGUACCGACAAACCUCGACGGACCUCAACCAAUUCGAACAAACAAUGUACUGGAACUCAAAUGACGACCCAGAGUUUCAAAAUCGGAGCUGAACCUUUUAUGUUUAAUGGAGACGAAAAAUGAGUAAAAAAAAAUCUAACUCAAAGGUCGUCGAUAAUGGAGUUGCGACCAGAUUUGCGGCUGCUGGUUUCAUUGAAGGGAGCAGGGGUCGAUGUUGAGGUAGCUCCAGGUCUGUCAUUGGUUUUGGAUGGAGAAGAAGAAGCUUAAGGUGUUCUCAGGUUGUCUUCAUACGUGUGUCACGGCAUUUUCCGGUGAGUUCGUCGCUGGCUUGGUGAGAGGAGGAGAAUCUGGAUUUCUGCAACUUGAAGCAAAAGAACGACGGGAGGGUUGGUCGCUGGUGAGGCGUGGCCGGUGGUGAUAGAGUUCAGUCGAGGAAGAAGAAGCCGCUACUGCCCUAGGUCUAUGUUUGGUUGCUACGACUAAAAGCUUUUUUUUAGACUCCUAGGGUUCUAGUCUCCUUAAGGUGUGAAGAAGAAGAAGACUUAGGAUUUUGGUAGGUUUUCAAAUCAGAAAAACGGUUAUGGCUGCUGGUGUUUGAAGUCUAUUGAGGCUGAUGCUUCUAUGAUUUUGUUCAAGAGCAGUAGCUUAUGGCUAGGAAGAAGCCAUGGAAGAUGUCUCGUUCUUUAGUUGAAGGCGACGAUGAACGAGGGGGGCUGUUUUGCGACGGAUGUCAGGUUUGGAUCUGUUUUCAGGCCUUUUUGAAAAGCUGCGCUGAUUUGUUUCUG